AUCUAUUGCGCCAUUUUCUCCUGAUGAAACCCUACUUCCUCACCAUUCUGCCCGUUAUUUUCUCUUACACGCUAUAAUCUCAAACCCUAAUGUUCUCUAUUCUCUCCUCAACAAUCGACUACCCAUACCAUCUCCAUCAACAGUCGGUUUCCUCUGUCAUCUCCAUCAACAGUCAACGGGCUCUACCAUCUCCAUCAACAAUCGGUUGCCCCUGCCACUGAAAAACUUCCUGGAUUGCCCCUUCAAAAAUAAACUGCUCCUUAGAGAGAAAUAGAAAGAGGAGAGAACUCGAACUACCUCUAAUCAUCGAAUAAAACCCUAAAAUCUCUGUAGAAAAAAGUGGGUGUUACAUUGGGACAUUAAUGUGGAGGAGUUGCUUGCAGCUAAUAUCAAUAACAAUGGCUUUAUCAGGGUGGAACAAGGGAACGAUUUGAUGCCUAAUGUUUCAAGAAAUGUUGUCUUGCUCAAUGGAGGUGGUAGCAUAGUCCUAAUGGGUUUGGUUUCACAACUUGUUCAUAAUGGUGGUCAUCAUGUUACUUGCGAGAAGACUUUUAUUAAGGCGUGGGAGUUUGAUUUAUUUUUGUUGGUUUGAAUUUAUAUUACACAAUUGAGGAGUUAGUUUCAUUUUGUAAUGAAAUUGAAUAAUAUAAUGCAAUUAGUUUCAUUUUGUAAUAAACUCAAAUAUUGUUAUGUAAUUUUGUAAUCAAAUAUGACAUUUUAUUCAAAUGUUUCAAUUUU